rnacentral:piRNA from 1 species
UAGUCAGGUUAUGCCUUUGUUUUAGA